UUUUUUUUUUUUUGAAACUAAAAUAAACUCAAAUUAAAAUCAUUUCAAUUAGCUCAGAUACAUGAGAUACAAUUUCAAUCUCACAAAGUUGCAAGCCUAAAUAAAAAUCUGUAUGCCUUGAAGGAAACUCAUAGAAACUCUUGAAACUCUCACGAAACACAAGAUCACAACCAAAAUGACAAAUAAUUGAAUCGUCAAUAAAUGAAGGCGGAAAACAAACCCAAGCAGAGAAACAAAUCUAUUACUCCAAGAUUCUCAAAGAUCUCCAUCGAUAACCAACUUGACCACGAUGGCGGUGAAAGGCAGAAUAAUCAGAGAAACUGCCAAUAGAGACACAGGGUCCUUGCUAUCACAGCGUGACCUGUUGGAGCCGUUCUAUUUUGGCGCUGAGGAGCAAAGUAAUUGAGGAAGAAGGAGAGGAAAGGAACUUAAAAAGAAAAAGAAAAUGAGAAUCAAGGGAAACGAUGAGAAAGUGAAAAAGAAGAAGAAGAAGGAAGAGGAAGAGGACGGGGAGGCUGAGGCUGUGGUGGCGUGAGAAAUGAAAGGUA
rnacentral:misc_RNA from 1 species